UUUGGGCGAACAUCACCCUAAAUUUUGGUAUCUUGUCUUAUUCAGAAUCCUACCUCCUUAGAGGUUUCUUUAGAGAGGGUCGUACCUAAUUUAACUAUGACAAGAUGGAUUAAAUGAACUAAAAAGUUGGAUAUGGAUUUGAGUUUGUCCCAUAAGCAACUUUGUUAAAACAUAAUUAUUACAGAUGGCGAUUUUUCAGUGAAUAAAUAGAAAUGAAAAAGGUAAGAUGUGGGGACACCACUCUCUGUGAUUUGAGGGCAUCUUUCAACUAAAAAUGAAAAAGACCUUUCCUUUUCCUCUCGAUUCCCUGUUUACCAGCUUAAGAUGCUCUUUCUUCAUCCUCAAAAGUGGUAUUGUUCUACGAAUAGCUCAGUUUCAACAGGAGGCAAGUGGUGCAGUGCUUUCAGCUUGAGAUCGAACCCUUUUUUCUUCUGUAUGAAGUCCUUUAACAGGUAAAGAAGCCAUGGUUCUUCUUAGUCAGGCGCACACGAAAGAGGCCAGAAGAGCUAAAUUCAACAACCCAAAGAGCUUCUUCCUUCCAGGAACUAGCCUUGCCUCCGUAGAAUCCUUAUCCAUGCCUCUUGUCCACGAAGUUGUUAUUUCAGCAGAUAUUAGAUGUGCAGUGUGUCAAAAGAAAAUUGCAGACAUAAUCUCAAGAAUGAAUGAACAGAUUUUGUUUUGAUAAAUGUGUUGGAGAAUAAGGUAACACUCACUUGCACGUACCCCAAGUUGGCUUCAACCCAAGUUCCUGUUGUUUACAGGAAGCCUCUCAGCACAAUGGCCGUCAUCAAGAAGUUCUUCCGAUCUUCCGGACGAUGAUUACCGAUAGACUAUCAUCAGAAUGCAACAUAAUU